rnacentral:rRNA from 1 species
AAACUUAAAGGAAUUGACGGGGACCCGCACAAGCGGUGGAUGAUGUGGUUUAAUUCGAUGCAACGCGAAAAACCUUACCCACCUUUGACAUGUACGGAAUCCUUUAGAGAUAGAGGAGUGCUCGAAAGAGAACCGUAACACAGGUGCUGCAUGGCUGUCGUCAGCUCGUGUCGUGAGAUGUUGGGUUAAGUCCCGACAACGAGCGCAACCCUUGUCCAUUAGUUGCUUACAUU